GAACACUUUGCGUAUGGAGAGUAAUUGAUUUGGAUAUAUGCAUUUUUUAGUAAACAAUUUUUACCUCAACCUCUGUGCUGUAGUCAAAAGUUUAUAAUUAUAUGAUAAAUAGAGGAAGUGGAUCUUCAAAAGCAUCAUCAUGCAGCCAAGAUUGUUCAUCGUCGCCAUCAUGGCUGUGAUGGCGGAAGAGGGUCUCUGCAAAGGAGAGAGAAAGGCCAGACACAUGAUGGACCGGCCGCUGACGGAGAACCGCCUGGACGCUGUGUC